AUGACCAGGCUGGAUGACCAUCUGAAUCCAGCCAACCAGCUUAGGCUGGUUUUAGCUGUUUCCCUGCUGAAAAAAAAAACAGCAUAUGCUGGUAAGGUAUGUUUUGAUGCUGGGAUGCUGGUUAAUGCUGGUCCUUUGCUGGUUUAUGCUGGCCCUUUUGCUGGUUUAUGCUGGUUUAUGCUGGUCCUUUUGCUGGUUUAUGCUUGUCCUUUGCUGGUUUAUGCUGGUCCUUUGCUGGUUUAUGCUGGUCCUUUGCUUGGUGUUGCUAGCAUGAUUUGGCUUGUUGUUACCAUGUUUAACAUGUGGCUAGCAUGAAAUAGCAUGUUACUAGCAUGUUUUAACACACUGCUAACAUGUAUUAUCAUGUUGCUAACAUGAUUUAGCAUGUUACUAUCACAUUGUUAGCAUGAUUUAACAUGUUGUUAACAUGAUUGAUAACAUGCUAACAUGAUUUAGCACAUAGAUAGCAUGUUGCUAGCAUUAUUUAACAUGUUGGAAGCAUGUUGCUAGCAUGAUUUAACAUUGUUAGCAUAUUGAUUAACAUAUUGCUACUAUGAUUUAACAUGUUGUAAACGUGAUUUAGCACACAGCUAACGUGUUGCUAGCAGGAUUUAACACACUGUUAGUGUGUUGCUAGCAUGCUAACAUGUUUUUAGCACAGGUUUGUUGUACAUAAUGACUAUACUGUGUAUGUUACUCAGGCAAAAUGCCAGCAGUUGAAAUGGAUUCACAGAUGCUGCAGUAAUUUAAUACUAUCAGUUGGCAAAAAGACGUCUCACAUUUCUUCUUUCAUUCUCAGGAGAAAGGGGUGGCAGAAAGAUUAACUCGUCCUCUCUCGUUCUUUGUCAUUUCUUUAGUGGCUGAUCUGAGAGCAGUGCUCUGUGGAUGCAGUCUGUGCCUCUUCUUGAUGCCAACCACUUUAGCGCACAUGCCAGCUGGCAGCGGUCAUGCAGAUGAACCGGUCAGACACAGUGGCCAUACCUCCAUAAUGUGUUUGCAUUUAUGCUCGUUUUCUGUCUGUUGUAGAACAUUCAAUAUUCUUAUAUCAUACAAUAGUUUAUAUUAUACAACUGUAUUGUGUUGAAUGCUGAAUCCCUGCCAGAUACUUAUUUCUUGCUACCUGAUUGUUCC
ensembl:lncRNA